ACCUGGCUGGCUCAGUUGGUAGAGCAUGCGACUCUUGAUCUCGGGGUUGUGAGUUCAAGCCCCACGCUGAGGG
rnacentral:tRNA from 1 species